rnacentral:rRNA from 1 species
AGAGUUUGAUCCUGGCUCAGGCGAACGCUGGCGGCGUGCCUAACACAUGCAAGUCGAACGGAGAAUUUUAUUUCGGUAGAAUUCUUAGUGGCUGAACGGGUGAGUAACGCUGUAGGCAACCUGCCCUUUAGACGGGGACAACAUUCCGAAAGGAGUGCUAAUACCGGAUGUGAUCAUCUUGCCGCAUGGCAGGGUGAAGAAAGAUGGCCUCUACAAGUAAGCUAUCGCUAAAGGAUGGGCCUGCGUCUGAUUAGCUAGUUGGUAGUGUAACGGACUACCAAGGCGAUGAUCAGUAGCCGGUCUGAGAGGAUGAACGGCCACAUUGGGACUGAGACACGGCCCAAACUCCUACGGGAGGCAGCAGUGGGGAAUCUUCCGCAAUGGACGAAAGUCUGACGGAGCAACGCCGCGUGAGUGAUGAAGGAUUUCGGUCUGUAAAGCUCUGUUGUUUAUGACGAACGUGCAGUGUGUGAACAAUGCAUUGCAAUGACGGUAGUAAACGAGGAAGCCACGGCUAACUACGUGCCAGCAGCCGCGGU